rnacentral:rRNA from 1 species
AUUGAACGCUGGCGGAAUGCUUUACACAUGCAAGUCGAACGGCAGCACGGGGGCAACCCUGGUGGCGAGUGGCGAACGGGUGAGUAAUACAUCGGAACGUGCCCAGUCGUGGGGGAUAACUACGCGAAAGCGUAGCUAAUACCGCAUACGAACUCUGGUUGAAAGCGGGGGACCGCAAGGCCUCGCGCGAUUGGAGCGGCCGAUGGCAGAUUAGGUAGUUGGUGGGGUAAAGGCUCACGAAGCCGACGAUCUGUAGCUGGUCUAAGAGGACGACAAGCCAAACUGGAGCUGAGACACGGCCAAGACUCCUACGGGAGGCAGCAGUGGGGAAUUUUGGGCAAGGGGGGCAAGCCUGAUCCAGCCAUUCCGCGUGAAGGAUGAAGGCCCUCGGGUUGUAAACUGCUUUUGUACGGAACGAAAGGCCCUGGGUUAAUACCCUGGGGUCAUGACGGUACCGUAAGAAUAAGCACCGGCUAACUACGUGCCAGCAGCCGCCGUAA